rnacentral:rRNA from 1 species
AAAACGACUCUCGGCAACGGAUAUCUCGGCUCAUGCAUCGAUGAAGAACGUAGCGAAAUGCGAUACUUGGUGUGAAUUGCAGAAUCCCGUGAACCAUCGAGUCUUUGAACGCAAGUUGCGCCCGAAGCCAUUUGGCCGAGGGCACGUCUGCCUGGGCGUCACGC